rnacentral:rRNA from 1 species
AAUAUUCGACAAUGGGGGCAACCCUGAUCCAGCCAUGCCGCGUGUGUGAAGAAGGNCUNNGGAUUNUNAAGCACUUUAAGUUGNNNNNAAUGGCCUUAGGUUAAUACCCUGAAGUUUUGACGUUACCAACAGAAUAAGCACCGGCUAACUCUGUGCCAGCAGCCGCGGUAAUACAGAGGGUGCAAGCGUUAAUCGGAAUUACUGGGCGUAAAGCGCGCGUAGGUGGUUCGUUAAGUUGGAAGUGAAAGCCCCGGGCUUAACCUGGGAAUUGCUUUCAAAACUGACGAGCUAGAGUACGGUAGAGGGUAGUGGAAUUUCCUGUGUAGCGGUGAAAUGCGUAGAUAUAGGAAGGAACACCAGUGGCGAAGGCGACUACCUGGACUGAUACUGACACUGAGGUGCGAAAGCGUGGGGAGCAAACA